CCAUGCAUUCUGCGCUUGUGUCUAUUCAUGCUAAUCCAGGUACACACAUUACGCAGGUAAUGUGUUUGCUCAUUAUUAUUAAAAGCAUCAUUUUAAUGGUGCCUCUGGGCUGUGUCUGCACUUGCAUGCCACACUCAACCGCCCAAAACAUCCGCAUUUCUUUCCUCAUGCCAAAUCAUAAGACACAGGUGACGUAUGCGUCCCCGCGAUGACGUCACACUGGUCCAGAGAAUCAGCCUUAUGGAUGCAUUCUCCUGUUUUAUCUUUUUAAAAUCCCGCCGACCCAGAACCAAGUUUGGGCGGGGUUCGACAUUAACGGUGGCCCGUUGAGUUGUGACUGUAGCCGCACCUGUAGCUUUGGGUAUUGUGGUUCAUUUUUGAUAUUUUCGAAAUAUUUCUUGUUCCAUUUCCUGAUUUUUAUUGUUUUAAUAAUACUUUCAUGUUAUUUAGUUGACAUAUUUCUAAUUGUUGUGAAGUACUUUAGUUGCAUUUUUUUUUUUUUUUUGUUUAUUUGACUAGAGCAAUAUACAAAUAAAUUUGGGAUGAAUUGAAGGAUUGCGUUUUUGUGACAAAUGGUGUCAGAAGUGGGAUGAUUACAUGCUGCCUGCCCGGUUGGGACCACCGAAAGCCGAGUGUUGGUCCUUAGAAAUGGGUGAGGCAGUUUAAAUGAUUUGAAUGGAGGAUCUGGCAAGAACACACAAUGCGUGCGGUACCAUCCAACUUCAACCUUUGAAGUUUAACUCUCACUCAUUUUCAUGAUCUGGAUGGGUGACAAAUACUUCAUAAGAUGCUGGAGGACAAAGGGCGGCUACAUCUUUCACAUCACAUCAGCAUAUUUGCAAAAUGGACAAUGAAUGUGCAAACAAGAUAAGUCAACAAGAGCCGCUAUAAAUAAAAGUGACUGAUAACACGCGGAUACCAUUGAACGACACAAACCACAAAUUUCCAAGUCAGGCUACUCGUUUUAAACGGCACAAUGAAGUUGAUGCUCUUGGCUUUGGGCGUUUUCCUGCUCCUCGCAGUGGGUGAGGCCUUGGAUUGCUACCAAUGUGUCCCUCUUCCGGGCCAAUCGGGUUGUGAUCGUCGCAGUGUGACGUGCUCGCCAACGCAGUCGUUCUGCGGCACCAAGACCUCCAAAUCCGACCCGAGCUACCAGCAACGGAAUUGCAUGAAUCAUCAGGAUUGUGAACAGCAUCAAUUUUCCACUUACAACGUAAAAUGCUGUCAAUCCAACAAUUGUAACAGCUAAAUAUUACAGCAGCUCUGAUCAGUUCACAUGGAGACCCCCGCAACCUUUGGGGCCCCUUGUGUAUGAUUGCAAGUGAUAUAUUUUUCCCCCUCUCUGGAAAAAAAUCAGCUCUUUGCUUUAAUGAUGAAAUCCUGUGUAACUUCUGCACACUUUCAGAUUUCUCUCAAUAAAAUUCAUGCAGAU